rnacentral:rRNA from 1 species
UACAGAGGGGGCAAGCGUUGUUCGGAAUUACUGGGCGUAAAGGGCGCGUAGGCGGCCUGCUAAGUCGAACGUGAAAUCCCCGGGCUCAACCCGGGAACUGCGUCCGAUACUGGCAGGCUUGAAUCCGGGAGAGGGAUGUGGAAUUCCAGGUGUAGCGGUGAAAUGCGUAGAUAUCUGGAGGAACACCGGUGGCGAAGGCGGCACCCUGGACCGGCAUUGACGCUGAGGCGCGAAAGCCAGGGGAGCAAACGGG